UCGAACGAUGAUGCCCAGCUUGCUGGGCGGAUUAGUGGCGAACGGGUGAGUAAUACGUGAGUAACCUGCCCUUGACUCUGGGAUAAGCCUGGGAAACUGGGUCUAAUACUGGAUACUACCUCUUACCGCAUGGUGGGUGGUGGAAAGGGUUUUACUGGUUUUGGAUGGGCUCACGGCCUAUCAGCUUGUUGGUGGGGUAAUGGCUCACCAAGGCGACGACGGGUAGCCGGCCUGAGAGGGUGACCGGCCACACUGGGACUGAGACACGGCCCAGACUCCUACGGGAGGCAGCAGUGGGGAAUAUUGCACAAUGGGCGGAAGCCUGAUGCAGCGACGCCGCGUGAGGGAUGACGGCCUUCGGGUUGUAAACCUCUUUCAGUAGGGAAGAAGCGAGAGUGACGGUACCUGCAGAAGAAGCGCCGGCUAACUACGUGCCAGCAGCCGCGGUAAUACGUAGGGCGCAAGCGUUGUCCGGAAUUAUUGGGCGUAAAGAGCUCGUAGGCGGUUUGUCGCGUCUGCUGUGAAAGCCCGGGGCUCAACCCCCGGGUCUGCAGUGGGUACGGGCAGACUAGAGUGCAGUAGGGGAGACUGGAAUUCCUGGUGUAGCGGUGAAAUGCGCAGAUAUCAGGAGGAACACCGAUGGCGAAGGCAGGUCUCUGGGCUGUUACUGACGCUGAGGAGCGAAAGCAUGGGGAGCGAACAGGAUUAGAUACCCUGGUAGUCCAUGCCGUAAACGUUGGGCACUAGGUGUGGGGGACAUUCCACGUUUUCCGCGCCGUAGCUAACGCAUUAAGUGCCCCGCCUGGGGAGUACGGCCGCAAGGCUAAAACUCAAAGGAAUUGACGGGGGCCCGCACAAGCGGCGGAGCAUGCGGAUUAAUUCGAUGCAACGCGAAGAACCUUACCAAGGCUUGACAUUCACCGGACCGCCCCAGAGAUGGGGUUUCCCUUCGGGGCUGGUGGACAGGUGGUGCAUGGUUGUCGUCAGCUCGUGUCGUGAGAUGUUGGGUUAAGUCCCGCAACGAGCGCAACCCUCGUUCUAUGUUGCCAGCACGUGAUGGUGGGGACUCAUAGGAGACUGCCGGGGUCAACUCGGAGGAAGGUGGGGAUGACGUCAAAUCAUCAUGCCCCUUAUGUCUUGGGCUUCACGCAUGCUACAAUGGCCGGUACAAAGGGUUGCGAUACUGUGAGGUGGAGCUAAUCCCAAAAAGCCGGUCUCAGUUCGGAUUGAGGUCUGCAACUCGACCUCAUGAAGUCGGAGUCGCUAGUAAUCGCAGAUCAGCAACGCUGCGGUGAAUACGUUCCCGGGCCUUGUACACACCGCCCGUCAAGUCACGAAAGUUGGUAACACCCGAAGCCGGUGGCCUAACCCCUUG
rnacentral:rRNA from 1 species